rnacentral:rRNA from 1 species
GAUGAACGCUGGCGGCGUGCCUAAUACAUGCAAGUCGAGCGAACAGACGAGGAGCUUGCUCCUCUGACGUUAGCGGCGGACGGGUGAGUAACACGUGGAUAACCUACCUAUAAGACUGGGAUAACUUCGGGAAACCGGAGCUAAUACCGGAUAAUAUAUUGAACCGCAUGGUUCAAUAGUGAAAGACGGUUUUGCUGUCACUUAUAGAUGGAUCCGCGCCGCAUUAGCUAGUUGGUAAGGUAACGGCUUACCAAGGCAACGAUGCGUAGCCGACCUGAGAGGGUGAUCGGCGACACUGGAACUGAGACACGGUCCAGACUCCUACGGGAGGAAGCAGUAGGGAAUCUUCCGCAAUGGGCGAAAGCCUGACGGAGCAACGCCGCGUGAGUGAUGAAGGUCUUCGGAUCGUAAAACUCUGUUAUUAGGGAAGAACAAAUGUGUAAGUAACUAUGCACGUCUUGACGGUACCUAAUCAGAAAGCCACGGCUAACUACGUG